UCCCAGACUCCUACGGGAGGCAGCAGUGAGGAAUAUUGGUCAAUGGCCGGAAGGCUGAACCAGCCAUGCCGCGUGAAGGUCAGUGCCCUAUGGGCGUUAAACUUCUUUUGUGCGGGAGCAAUAAUGGUCACGUGUGGCCAGACGAGAGUACCGUACGAAUAAGCAUCGGCUAACUCCGUGCCAGCAGCCGCGGUAAUACGGGGGAUGCAAGCGUUAUCCGGAUUUAUUGGGUUUAAAGGGUGCGUAGGCUGUGAGGUAAGUCAGCGGUGAAAUGCCCCCGCUCAACGGGGUGAAGUGCCAUUGAUACUGCCUUGCUGGAAUGCGGAUGCCGUGGGAGGAAUGUGUGGUGUAGCGGUGAAAUGCAUAGAUAUCGCGCAGAACCCCGAUUGCGAAGGCAGCGUGCCGUGCCGCCACUGACGCUGAGGCACGAAAGCGCGGGGAUCGAACAGGAUUAGAUACCCCGGUA
rnacentral:rRNA from 1 species